rnacentral:rRNA from 1 species
GAUGAACGCUGGCGGCGUGCCUAAUACAUGCAAGUCGAGCGAACAGACGAGGAGCUUGCUCCUCUGACGUUAGCGGCGGACGGGUGAGUAACACGUGGAUAACCUACCUAUAAGACUGGGAUAACUUCGGGAAGCCGGAGCUAAUACCGGAUAAUAUAUUGAACCGCAUGGUUCAAUAGUGAAAGACGGUUUUGCUGUCACUUAUAGAUGGAUCCGCGCCGCAUUAGCUAGUUGGUAAGGUAACGGCUUACCAAGGCAACGAUGCGUAGCCGACCUGAGAGGGUGAUCGGCCACACUGGAACUGAGACACGGUCCAGACUCCUACGGGAGGCAGCAGUAGGGAAUCUUCCGCAAUGGGCGAAAGCCUGACGGAGCAACGCCGCGUGAGUGAUGAAGGUCUUCGGAUCGUAAAACUCUGUCAUUAGGGAAGAACAAAUGUGUAAGUAACUAUGCACGUCUUGACGGUACCUAAUCAGAAAGCCACGGCUAACUACGUG